ensembl:snRNA U1 U1 spliceosomal RNA
AUACUGUGCUGGCAGGGAAGAGACCAGGAUCACGGAGAUGGUUUUUGCAGGGCGAGGCUUAACCUUUGUACUCUGUAUGUGCUGACCACUGCAAUUUCCCCAAAUGUGGGGAAAUCAACUUCGUAAUUCGUGAUGGGGGGACUGCAUUACUGCUCUUUCCUG